rnacentral:rRNA from 1 species
GAUGAACGCUGGCGGCGUGCUUAACACAUGCAAGUCGAGCGAGAAGUUUUGAAAAGAUUCUUCGGAUGAAAUUUAAAAUGGAAAGCGGCGGACGGGUGAGUAACGCGUAGGCAACCUGCCCCAUACAGAGGGAUAGCAUUUGGAAACGAAUAUUAAUACCUUAUGAAACUUAACUAGUGCAUGCUAGGUAGGUCAAAGAUUUAUCGGUAUGGGAUGGGCCUGCGUCUGAUUAGCUAGUUGGUGAGGUAACGGCUCACCAAGGCGACGAUCAGUAGCCGACCUGAGAGGGUGAACGGCCACAUUGGAACUGAGACACGGUCCAAACUCCUACGGGAGGCAGCAGUGGGGAAUAUUGCACAAUGGGGGAAACCCUGAUGCAGCAACGCCGCGUGAACGAUGAAGGCCUUUGGGUCGUAAAGUUCUGUUCUAGGUGAUGAAAACUGACAGUAACCUAGGAGAAAGCCCCGGCUAACUCCGUG